rnacentral:rRNA from 1 species
AAUGAACGCUGGCGGCAGGCCUAACACAUGCAAGUCGAACGGAUCCUUCGGGAUUAGUGGCGGACGGGUGAGUAACGCGUGGGAACAUACCCAAAGGUACGGAAUAGCCUCGGGAAACUGGGAGUAAUACCGUAUGUGCUCGAAAGAGGAAAGAUUUAUCGCCUUUGGAUUGGCCCGCGUUGGAUUAGGUAGUUGGUGGGGUAAUGGCCUACCAAGCCGACGAUCCAUAGCUGGUUUGAGAGGAUGAUCAGCCACACUGGGACUGAGACACGGCCCAGACUCCUACGGGAGGCAGCAGUGGGGAAUCUUAGACAAUGGGGGAAACCCUGAUCUAGCCAUGCCGCGUGAUCGAUGAAGGCCUUAGGGUUGUAAAGAUCUUUCAGGUGGGAAGAUAAUGACUGUACCACCAGAAGAAGCCCCGGCUAACUCCGUGCCAGCCGCCGCAGUAACAC